CCUACGGGAGGCUGCAGUGGGGAAUAUUGCACAAUGGGGGAAACCCUGAUGCAGCGACGCCGCGUGAGCGAUGAAGUAUUUCGGUAUGUAAAGCUCUAUCAGCAGGGAAGAAGAUGACGGUACCUGACUAAGAAGCCCCGGCUAACUACGUGCCAGCAGCCGCGGUAAUACGUAGGGGGCAAGCGUUACCCGGAUUUACUGGGUGUAAAGGGAGCGUAGGCGGCGGUGCAAGCCAGAUGUGAAAGCCUGGGGCUCAACCCCGGGACUGCAUUUGGAACUGUAUGGCUGGAGUGUCGGAGAGGCAGGCGGAAUUCCUAGUGUAGCGGUGAAAUGCGUAGAUAUUAGGAGGAACACCAGUGGCGAAGGCGGCCUGCUGGACGAUGACUGACGUUGAGGCUCGAAAGCGUGGGGAGCAAACAGGAUUAGAUACCCCAGUAGUC
rnacentral:rRNA from 1 species